UGGGUUUGACAUGCACAGGAUUGCGGCAGAGAUGUCGUUUCCCUUGUGGCCUGUGUGCAGGUGGUGCAUGGCUGUCGUCAGCUCGUGUCGUGAGAUGUUGGGUUAAGUCCCGCAACGAGCGCAACCCUUGUUCCAUGUUGCCAGCACGUAGUGGUGGGGACUCAUGGGAGACUGCCGGGGUCAACUCGGAGGAAGGUGGGGAUGACGUCAAGUCAUCAUGCCCCUUAUGUCCAGGGCUUCACACAUGCUACAAUGGCUCAUACAGAGGGCUGCGAGACCGUGAGGUGGAGCGAAUCCCUUAAAGUGAGUCUCAGUUCGGAUCGGGGUCUGCAACUCGACCCCGUGAAGUUGGAGUCGCUAGUAAUCGCAGAUCAGCAUUGCUGCGGUGAAUACGUUCCCGGGCC
rnacentral:rRNA from 1 species